rnacentral:rRNA from 1 species
GACGAACGCUGGCGGCGUGCCUAAUACAUGCAAGUAGAACGCACAGUUUAUACCGUAGCUUGCUACACCAUAGACUGUGAGUUGCGAACGGGUGAGUAACGCGUAGGUAACCUGCCUGGUAGCGGGGGAUAACUAUUGGAAACGAUAGCUAAUACCGCAUAAUAUUGAUUAUUGCAUGAUAAUUGAUUGAAAGAUGCUAUUGCAUCACUACCAGAUGGACCUGCUUUGUAUUAGCUAGUAGGUGAGGUAACGGCUCACCUAGGCGACGAAACAUAGCCGACCUGAGAGGGUGGUCGGCCACACUGGUACUGAGACACGGCCCAGACUCCUACGGGUGGAAGCAGUAGGGAAUCUUCGUCAAUGGACGAAAGUCUGACCGAGCAACGCCGCGUGAGUGAAGAAGGUUUUCGGAUCGUAAAGCUCUGUUGUAAGAGAAGAACGGGUGUGAGAGUGGAAAGUUCACACUGUGACGGUAUCUUACCAGAAAGAGACGGCUAACUACGUG